AACACUACUUACAGCAGGCAUUUGACAGGUAUUCCUAUGCUUACUGUCACUUGCCAAUUGCCACCAUAAGCAAAAUAGACUUGAUCUGAGGAAAAUUAAUUCAUUACCAAUUAAUAUAGUUGCAUGGUGAGAAACAAAGACUUGAAUCCCUUCCUCCCACUCCUUCCCAGACUUCUUCCCUCCUUUGUUACCAACUCUUCUACCUCCCUGCUUCCACCUCCUCUCGAUGUUCACAGGGCUGUUUUUCCCUCACACUCUGUCGUGCAGUGUUUUCUCCCAUCUUAAGCACAUUUUGCCGAGGUGCCCCCACCUCGGCUGUGGGCUCGGCCCUGCCCUGCGGUGGGUGGGUUGGAGCCAGGUGGAAUCACCAGUGUCUGGCACGGAGCUCCCUCACAGAGCCUUGCUGCAGCCCCCGGGGUGCCAACACCCCGUACAUCAGUGUCUGGUUUCAUGUGGUACAAAUAAGCUUGUGAGUCUCUCAGCGGGUUUCCAAACGGGUCGUGGGGAUCACUGGGAGCUGCUGGUGGCCUUGGAGCUACUCAUGUGUGGUGGUCACAGCUUUGAGGUCCAGCAGGGGGAAGUUCACGUUCCAGAGGAGGUGUGUAGGAGCUGAACACCUGAUCCCUGCCCGGGCACUGCUGGUGCAGGGGAGUUCUGGGCAGGCUGCACUCGGAACCCGAAAUUCGGAGUUGCAUUAAACCUCAAUCUUGCUCCUAGGAAAAACUCUUCUAUUUGCUGCGGGGGAAAUUUUCAUUCGUAGGCAACUCCUCGGCGUGUUCCCGGGCUCCCUUUCAACACCGCAGGAACUGUGGGCAUGGAAUUAGCCUGACCUUACUUUUCCUGCCCCCAGGUGGGGCUCUGCUCUUUCGGCAAGUGCCCUCUGUGGGCACUGGCGGGAUGGAGAUGGUGCAGCGUGGAGCAAUUCUCAGCCAUACAGCCCGAAAAAUACCACCUGCGUGGGAAGGACCUGAAGGACCUGAAGCCUGAUUUGUACUGUCUUGCACAUACGACAUGAACAAAUGAGUCUCAUGCUGAAAACAUCAGUAGAGAAGAAGCCAAGUUACAUUUCACAAACUGUUUUACAUUAUCUGCAAGAAAGGUCUGUGUAAGAGGGUUUAAGGGACAGAGAGAAUAGGUAGGGAACCAAACAGGCCUUGAAACAGUGGCUCAGCCAGAGGCCUCUGAGAUAACGCAGGAAUCCACUAAAAGACCUUGGGCAGCCUGGGAAGGAGAGAAAAGAAGCUGCUAAUUCCUGCGGAGGAAUACCUGUGAUGAGUACCUGCACUUAAAGAUAAAAAUAAGAUAGAGAAAACUGUUUUAAGCUAACACCACUUAUAGAAUAUAUACUGGUAUAUAUUUAACAAUAGUAGUGUGUUAUUAAAAGGUUUGAAAGGAGUGUGUAAAUUUAAAAAAUGUGUGUAACAGUAUAAAAAGUA